UUCCAGACUCCUACGGGAGGCAGCAGUGAGGAAUAUUGGUCAAUGGGAGAGAUCCUGAACCAGCCAAGCCGCGUGAGGGAAGACGGCCCUAUGGGUUGUAAACCUCUUUUGUCGGAGAACAAAACCCGGGACGUGUCCCGGACUGCGUGUAUCCGAAGAAAAAGCAUCGGCUAACUCCGUGCCAGCAGCCGCGGUAAUACGGAGGAUGCGAGCGUUAUCCGGAUUUAUUGGGUUUAAAGGGAGCGUAGAUGGGUUGUUAAGUCAGUUGUGAAAGUUUGCGGCUCAACCGUAAAAUUGCAAUUGAUACUGGCAGCCUUGAGUACAGUUGAGGUAGGCGGAAUUCGUGGUGUAGCGGUGAAAUGCUUAGAUAUCACGAAGAACUCCGAUUGCGAAGGCAGCCUACUAAACUGCCACUGACAUUGAUGCUCGAAAGUGUGGGUAUCAAACAGGAUUAGAUACCCCAGUAACU
rnacentral:rRNA from 1 species